AAUAGAUACCCGGGUAGUCCACGCCGUAAACGAUGGAUACUAGCUGUUGGGGGCGACCUCAGUGGCUAAGCGAAAGUGAUAAGUAUCCCACCUGGGGAGUACGUUCGCAAGAAUGAAACUCAAAGGAAUUGACGGGGGCCCGCACAAGCGGUGGAGCAUGUGGUUUAAUUCGAUGAUACGCGAGGAACCUUACCAAGGCUUAAAUGCAGACUGACCGUUUUGGAAACAGAACUUUCGCAAGACAGUCUACAAGGUGCUGCAUGGUUGUCGUCAGCUCGUGCCGUGAGGUGUCAGGUUAAGUCCUAUAACGAGCGCAACCCCUGUUGUUAGUUGCCAGCGAGUAGUGUCGGGAACUCUAACAAGACUGCCAGUGCAAACUGUGAGGAAGGUGGGGAUGACGUCAAAUCAUCACGGCCCUUACGCCUUGGGCUACACACGUGCUACAAUGGCCGGUACAGAGGGCAGCCACCUCGCGAGAGGGAGCGAAUCUACAAAGCCGGUCACAGUUCGGAUCGGAGUCUGCAACUCGACUCCG
rnacentral:rRNA from 1 species